CACGUAGGCCGCUUUGUAAGUCAGGGGUGAAAUCCCACGGCUCAACCGUGGAACUGCCUUUGAAACUGCAGAGCUUGAAUCCUGGAGAGGGUGGCGGAAUUCCUGGUGUAGGAGUGAAAUCCGUAGAUAUCAGGAGGAACACCGGUGGCGAAGGCGGCCACCUGGACAGGUAUUGACGCUGAGGUGCGAAAGUGUGGGGAGCAAACAG
rnacentral:rRNA from 1 species